rnacentral:rRNA from 1 species
GACGAACGCUGGCGGCGUGCUUAACACAUGCAAGUCGAACGAAGAGCGACGGAAGCUUGCUUCUAUCAAUCUUAGUGGCGAACGGGUGAGUAACGCGUAAUCAACCUGCCCUUCAGAGGGGGACAACAGUUGGAAACGACUGCUAAUACCGCAUACGAUCUAACCUCGGCAUCGAGGAUAGAUGAAAGGUGGCCUCUACAUGUAAGCUAUCACUGAAGGAGGGGAUUGGGUCUGAUCAGCUAGGUGGAGGGGUAAGGGACCACCAAGGCGAUGAUAAGUAGCGGGGCUGAGAGGAGGAGCGGCCCCAUUGGAAUGGGGACGAGGCCCAGCCCAAUACGGGAGGCAGCAGAGGAGAAUCUUACGUAAGGGAAGGAAGUCAGACGGGGCAACGCCGCGUCGGUGAUGACGGCCUUCGGGUUGGAAAGCUCUGUUAAUCGGGACGAAAGGUCUUCUUGCGAAUAGGGAGAAGGAUUGACGGUACCGGAAGAGAAAGCAACGGCUAACUACGUG